GGCUCAGAUGGUAAAGAAUCUGCCUGCAAUGCAGGAGACCCAGGUUCGAUCCCUGGGUCA
rnacentral:tRNA from 1 species